rnacentral:rRNA from 1 species
AAGGUGGGGAGUGACGUCAAAUCAUCAUGCCCCUUAUGACCUGGGCUACACACGUGCUACAAUGGUUGGUACAACGAGUUGCGAGUCGGUGACGGCGAGCUAAUCUCUUAAAGCCAAUCUCAGUUCGGAUUGUAGGCUGCAACUCGCCUACAUGAAGUCGGAAUCGCUAGUAAUCGCGGAUCAGCACGCCGCGGUGAAUACGUUCCCGGGCCUU